AAUUAUUCAAGAGUUUUUAAAUGAGUGGACUUACUACAUGGUUUGGCAAUCCUCCCUUAUAGAUAAGAAUAGAUGCCCUCAGCCUCUUCAGGACCCUUGGGUCUACUAAUGUCAAAAUCUCCAGUGACAUAAUAAAUGACAUACUAACCAUCCUUCAUCCUUGUCACUUAAUCGUUUGAGCUAGUGGUAUCUAAGCAAUUCAUCAUUUUUUUGCCUUGAUAUGUGAGUCUUCAUUGAUACCGAGCUCGAGUUCUUUAAGGAAGCCCCAUAAAAUUUGAUGUUAUGAGUCAAAUGGAAUGUUUGGUAAUGCAGUUUGACCAUUUGAGUUUGUUGUUAGCUACUUGUGCUCAUAAUGACUGAGGUUGGUCACUCCUGCUUUUUAUUUGAUGAAAGGAAUUUAUAUAUAGAAAGGAAGAAAUUAGAAGAGAGAAAUAAUAGUCCUUUCUAGGAAAGGGGGAAACAAACCUCAAUUAAGGACAACCUUUUGGCUCAUCUGAAUCUUAGAGAUUGUGAUGCUUUUAAAGCACUAACAUUUGAUGCUUAGAUUGAAGUGACACUUUGAACUUUAGCAUUCCUCUUCAACCACAUAACCUCAAUGACCACAAGCAAUUAAAAUCCUG
rnacentral:lncRNA from 1 species